AAAAACCGUUUCAUUUGGACCUAUAUAAGAAAACAAUUUGCUGAUCACUACGAAUUUAAAUAAAAACUUGGAAAAGUUUGAAAAAAAUCACAUAGAAAGUUCGAACUCCAAAACCUGGCAAGUUCAUGGUAAAAACAAAAAAAGGCAGAAAAGGUACAAUUUAUUUUUCAGUGUACCUAUAAUGUCCAGUUUUUCUUUCAGCUCAAUUCCUAGAUUUCAUUCAGUUCAAUUCUUAUGUAGGUACUUGGUGGUGGCAUUCCUUCACUUCCCUUGUUAUGCUCUCUUCGCCCAAGUUCCGAGAAUCAAGAAAACAAAUAAUAGUGCUUGCAUGAAAAUGUACGAGCAAAAAAAACCACAAAGGCCUUUGCGUAGAAACAUCACCUCCACACCCCCUCCAUUCAUGCACAAUACAUGCUUCUCCUGCCGCCGUGCCGCCUGGAUCCAACGAGGCUGUGUCACACUGGCCCCGGAUCCGCCCGCUUCCAAUGAGGUUGCGUCACCCGCUGGCGCACCUCUGCCUCGCCGUGGGCAGUGGAUGCUCCUCCGCAGCUCAACCUCCUGGUAGCGGGUAGUUCGAUGCUCCCUGUCGCGCUACGAUCAGCGCUCCCUCGAGCUCCACAAGAAAUUCUUUCGGGCUGCGUCUGCACCUCUGAAAAGUUCACACACUCGAAGGAGGGGUCAUUGUUUCUUAUUGGAGAAGGCCUGGUGUUUAGUUGGUGUCUGUGUGGUACCUACACCAGCAUUUUCCAUCAAGACCUCCAGAAAGAGAUCAUCUCAAGGUGGUUCAAAUGUGUCGAGCGGCAGCAUCGCUUGAUCCCUAGUGGUUGUCCGCGCAAGGAGGAUACAGGGACGCUACAGUGGUGGAGGAGUCAGUACAUGUAGUAGCUAGCUCAAGAAAAGCCAGCGGCCUGCUCUGGCCAUGCCGCACCACCACUGGCACAUCCACCAUGGUUGCUGGCAGUCGUCUAAGUUGAGCGCUGAUGGGAGUCCUUAACGUGCUUCAACGACACUCUCUCAUAUCAAUCUCUCUCUUUCUUUGCUCCUGUUAUUAAAAUGUGUAGAUGUGCUGCUUUGCUAAUUGAGUAGUUGGGAAGAUGUGAAAAGAACAUGCUCUCUAGGUGUGUGAUUAUUCCUGUGAGCACAAAUGUAUUUAAAUGUUUAUUUUGUGCUUCAGCUUAUGCUUUUGGGCAGUACAAAUACAUCUUCAAAAAUAAGUACAAAUGCGGUCUUAUAGAACUCUAAUUGUUGUUGGAUGCUAUUCCAAAUGCCAAUGAUCAUGCAAAACGGUUAUUGCUAGAAUCUAGAUGAUAUGUAAUGUAGUUACCAUAGUUUCACCCUAUUUUUAUGGUUCUAAUUAUUGUUGCAUAAGUCUUUAAAAGAAAUGUUCACUAAAUGUUUGUGAUCAUUGCUUGUAGGUAUUCGUAUGAACAUUAAAAUAAUGGCUUUUCUUGUAGGAGGUUCAAAGAUUAUCGUGGAGCAAGUUCAAGAGAUCAGUUUGGUGAAAAUAAUGUGAUCUUUUGGUCAGGAUUUUGCAUGAUCCAUAGCCAUCAGGCGAGCAGUUCAAGGCCUACUACGCGAGUCGUCCAUCGUCUUCUACGCUUGAUGAGCUUGUUGUCUCUACACAUCUAGCAUCAAAGUAUCUCCUCCCCUUGCCGCACACACAUGCCCGCGGUUGAGCUAGUGUUGUUUGUGAUUGCUGGUCGUGACUCUUACGUUGUCAUUGGACAAAUAAUUUGUUCUGUAACUCUGUAUUGAUGGGACCUUCAGCAAAUAUGGUGUUUAGAAUUUGUUUGUAACUCUGUACUGUCGGGACCUUCAGCAUAUAUGGUGAUCUCAGUAUUCUAAUAUGUAGGCCAAAAAUGGUGAACAUUUAAACAUCAGUUCAAUUUAAUAAAACUGAGAA